rnacentral:rRNA from 1 species
UUGAACGCUGGCGGAAUGCUUUACACAUGCAAGUCGCGCGGCAGCGCGGCCUUCGGGCUGGCGGCGAGCGGCGAACGGGUGAGUAAUGCAUCGGAACAUGCCCAGUCGUGGGGGAUAACACUUCGAAAGAAGUGCUAAUACCGCAUACGUCCUGAGGGGGAAAGCGGGGGAUCGCAAGACCUCGCGCGAUUGGAGUGGCCGAUGUCAGAUUAGCUAGUUGGUGGGGUAAAGGCCUACCAAGGCGACGAUCUGUAGCUGGUCUGAGAGGAUGAUCAGCCACACUGGGACUGAGACACGGCCCAGACUCCUACGGGAGGCAGCAGUGGGGAAUUUUGGACAAUGGGGGCAACCCUGAUCCAGCCAUUCCGCGUGAGUGAAGAAGGCCUUCGGGUUGUAAAGCUCUUUCGGCAGGAACGAAACGGUGGGCUCUAACAUAGUCCGCUAAUGACGGUACCUGAAGAAGAAGCACCGGCUAACUACGUG